rnacentral:rRNA from 1 species
UACGUAGGAUGCUAGCGUUGUCCGGAUUUAUUGGGCGUAAAGCGUGCGCAGGCGGUUAUGUAAGACAGUUGUGAAAUCCCCGGGCUCAACCUGGGAACUGCAUCUGUGACUGCAUAGCUAGAGUACGGUAGAGGGGGAUGGAAUUCCGCGUGUAGCAGUGAAAUUCGUAGAUAUUGGGAAGAACACCGGUGGCGAAGGCGGCAACCUGGUCCUUUACUGACGCUGAGGCGCGAAAGCGUGGGGAGCAAACAGG